AUUCCAGCUCCAAUAGCGUAUAUUAAAGUUGUUGCAGUUAAAACGCUCGUAGUCGGAUUUCGGGGCGGGCCGACCGGUCUGCCGAUGGGUAUGCACUGGCCGGCGCGUCCUUCCACCCGGAGACCGCGCCUCCUCUUAACUGAGCGGGCGCGGGAGACGGGUCUUUUACUUUGAAAAAAUCAGAGUGUUUCAAGCAGGCAGUCGCUCUUGCAUGGAUUAGCAUGGGAUAAUGAAAUAGGACUCUGGUGCUAUUUUGUUGGUUUCGAACACCGGAGUAAUGAUUAACAGGGACAGUCAGGGGCACUCGUAUUCCGCCGAGAGAGGUGAAAUUCUCAGACCAGCGGAAGACGAACCACUGCGAAAGCAUUUGCCAGGGAUGUUUUCAUCA
rnacentral:rRNA from 1 species